GUUCAAACACCGGUUCUCAUUCGCUCAUCGUAGUUAAGCGCUGUCGAGCCGGGCCAGUACCUAGAUGGGCGACCGCCUAGGAAUACCAGAUGUUGUCA